rnacentral:rRNA from 1 species
AUUGAACGCUGGCGGCAGGCCUAACACAUGCAAGUCGAGCGAGCGGCCGACGGGUGUGUCAUGUAUGUGGCUCUGCCCGUCAGAGGGGGAUAACUUCUGCAACCGUUGGCUAAUACCGCUAUCUAUCGGAUUAACCCAUAUGGGAUUAGCUAGUAGGUGGGGUAAAGGCUCACCUGGGCGACGAUCUCUAGCUGGUCUGAGAGUUUGAUCAGCCACACUGUGACGGAGACACGGCCCAGACUCCGACGGUAGGCAGCAGUGGGGAAUAUUGCACAAUGGGUGCAAGCCUGAUGCAGCCAUGCCGCGUGGAUGAAGAAGGCCUUAGGUUUGUAAAGUACUUUCAGCGAGGAGGCGUUACCCGCAGAAGAAGCACCGGCUAACUCCGUGCCAGCCGCCGCGGUAAUAC